GACGAACGCUGGCGGCGUGCUUAACACAUGCAAGUCGAACGGAAAGGCCCUGCUUGCAGGGUGCUCGAGUGGCGAACGGGUGAGUAACACGUGGGUGAUCUGCCCCUUAUUUUGGGAUAAGCCUGGGAAACUGGGUCUAAUACUGGAUAGGUCCAUGCUGUAGGUGGUGUGGUGGGAAGAGUAGUUUCGGUAAGGGAUGAGCUCGCGGCCUAUCAGCUUGUUGGUGGGGUAGUGGCCUACCAAGGCGUCGACGGGUAGCGGGCCUGAGAGGGUGGACGGCGGCAUUGCGACUACGGUACGACGCAGCAGCCUACGAGGGGCAGCAGUAGGGGGUAUUGUAGAAUGAGCGGAAGAAGGAUGCUGCGACGCCGCGGGGGGGGGGAUGACGGUCGGGUUGUAGACUACCUUCAGCAAUGCCGAAGCCGUUGUAGUGACGGUAGUGGUAGAAGAAGCACCGGCUAACUACGUG
rnacentral:rRNA from 1 species